rnacentral:lncRNA from 1 species
UAUCAUUCCUUUGAUAAUCAGCUUCUGAUGAAAAUGGAAGAGAAGGCAAUGGCAGAACUGCUAUUCCUUACAUGCAUAAGCUAAACCAUAAAGGAGAUACAGUCAAUACAAAUAUGAAAGCAAGAUUUGUAUGAUCAAGUGGAAUUAAGAUGGCAGCUAAAGAUGGUAAAGUUAUGUUUCACAUAGCAUCUUCCUCCAAGAACUCAUAACUUGAACAACAAAUCUUUGAUGGAGAGUGAGAACCGAAAAAUCACACCAGAAGCAAUCAGCAAAAAAAGGCAAUCACCUGCAUAGGCAGAAAUAUCCAAGUGUUCCCAAGAUUUAGAUUUUGCAAACACAUGUGGCACUUAGCUAAACCCUGAAGAGGAGUGCUAAAAAGAAGCAAAGGGAGAAAAGAGUGAGUGAGGGCAAGUGGAAGUGAUGAAAGUGCUCACAAGUAAAAGACAAGCUCCAACUUAGAAAGAAAAUUAAGAGUGGAUACCAACGAGUAAUGAUAUCACACUCUGGGGUGUAGAGAAAAACUUUCCUUUCUAGUGAAAUUCCCCUCAAUAAAAAUCUAUAUAAC